AUCUUUCAUCCUUUGCACAAAACUGAGGAGAAGGUACUUUAAAUGGCACAAUUCUAGGAGCCUGUUAGGUAAUUGCACUUGAGUUAGUAUGGGAUCUGUGUCAGGACUGCAGGUGGUAGACAGAGCCCCUGUGGGGUGUUCCAUGUUCUGUGACGUUGCUUAUAAAUUCCAGAAGAGAAGCAGCUGAGGAGUGGAGAUGUUCUUUUUGCAGGGGCCCUCUGAGAAGAUUGCCAAGUUCUUUCUCACGGAUGGGGACAUGGAAGAGAUCAGCAGUGAUGUUACUCAGUACAUUUCAUCUUCCCUUUUUGGAGUCGAUUCUGCACAGAAUAAAUGAAGAGGAGAAGCAGGAGAUUAAACAGACACACAACGAGGUGUCACAGAGUCCAGGGCAAUUGCACAAUUGUGGCCUGGCUCAUGAGGAGAGCAUACAGAUAUGCAGAGUGCAGGUAGAACACUGUGAUGGGAAGGCUGAAGGGACUGGGAGGGUUUACAACUCUUUCCUUAUUUUGUUGCUCCUAAAGCUUCCAGAAUUAGCACUGACUACAUACAGAGUGAGCUCUUCAGAAAACUUGGACCCUCGGGGUAAC
rnacentral:lncRNA from 12 species